UACGUAGGGUGCGAGCGUUGUCCGGAAUUAUUGGGCGUAAAGAGCUCAUAGGCGGUGUGUCACGUCGAUCGUGAAAACUUACAGCUUAACUGUGAGCGUGCGGUCGAUACGGGCAUCACUGGAGUUCGGCAGGGGAGACUGGAAUUCCUGGUGUAGCGGUGAAAUGCGCAGAUAUCAGGAGGAACACCGGUGGCGAAGGCGGGUCUCUGGGCCGAUACUGACGCUGAGGAGCGAAAGCGUGGGGAGCGAACAGG
rnacentral:rRNA from 1 species